UACGGAGGAUGCAAGCGUUAUCCGGAAUCAUUGGGCGUAAAGAGCGUGUAGGCGGUUCGAUAAGUCUGCUGUGAAAGUCCAGGGCUCAACCCUGGGAUGCCGGUGGAUACUGUCGGGCUAGAGUACGGAAGAGGCGAGUGGAAUUCCUGGUGUAGCGGUGAAAUGCGCAGAUAUCAGGAGGAACACCGAUGGCGAAGGCAGCUCGCUGGGACGGUACUGACGCUGAGACGCGAAAGCGUGGGGAGCAAACAGG
rnacentral:rRNA from 1 species